GGGAUCUCAACCGUCACCGACGCAGCGGAUCAGAAUUGAGAGCCCCGAAUUUCAAAUUAGCCGGGUUUUUAUAGAGGUUACAGCAAGGUUCUUCUUCAUGGCACCAAGACUGCUGAGAAAUGCUCCAAAUUUACCUCUGAUCUCAGAGGUUAGAAGGGUAGAAGAAGAGAGUUCCUGAAUAGAGCCACAUGAUUAUCACUGGAGCCAAUGGUUAAGAUCUCUCAAGGAAAUAGUACUUUGUAUGCUGAAUGAUUCUUUUUGGACUCAAUGUAUUGCACUACAUUGUUAUUGUGAGAUUCAUAUUCAAAAAUUAUGAGAAAUGUAAAUGUCAUUAGAUAAAUAUUCUAAAGUACUCG
ensembl:lncRNA